UACGUAGGGGGCAAGCGUUGUCCGGAAUCAUUGGGCGUAAAGAGCGUGUAGGCGGCUCGAUAAGUCUGCUGUGAAAGUCCAGGGCUCAACCCUGGAAGGCCGGUGGAAACUGUCGGGCUAGAGUUCGGAAGAGGCGAGUGGAAUUCCUGGUGUAGCGGUGAAAUGCGCAGAUAUCAGGAGGAACACCUAUUGCGAAGGCAGCUCGCUGGGACGUAACUGACGCUGAGACGCGAAAGCGUGGGGAGCAAACAGG
rnacentral:rRNA from 1 species